rnacentral:rRNA from 1 species
GAUGAACGCUGGCGGCGUGCCUAAUACAUGCAAGUCGAGCGAACGGACGAGAAGCUUGCUUCUCUGAUGUUAGCGGCGGACGGGUGAGUAACACGUGGAUAACCUACCUAUAAGACUGGGAUAACUUCUGGAAACCGGAGCUAAUACCGGAUAAUAUUUUGAACCGCAUGGUUCAAAACUGAAAGACGGUCUUGCUGUCACUUAUAGAUGGAUCCGCGCUGCAUUAGCUAGUUGGUAAGGUAACGGCUUACCAAGGCAACGAUGCAUAGCCGACCUGAGAGGGUGAUCGGCCACACUGGAACUGAGACACGGUCCAGACUCCUACGGGAGGCAGCAGUAGGGAAUCUUCCGCAAUGGGCGAAAGCCUGACGGAGCAACGCCGCGUGAGUGAUGAAGGUCUUCGGAUCGUAAAACUCUGUUAUUAGGGAAGAACAUAUGUGUAAGUAACUGUGCACAUCUUGACGGUACCUAAUCAGAAAGCCACGGCUAACUACGUG